rnacentral:tRNA from 1 species
UACCCAUGCCGGAGUCGAACCCGGGCCGCCUGGGUGAGAGCCAGGAAUCCUGACCGCUAGACCACAUGGGA